GGGACAGGGGAAAGUCAGAUGGCAUCUCAGUCUCCAUGGACUUUGUGACUACAUUUUCUGGAUCUUCCCAAGAUGGGGAAUUUGCAGUGUGCAGGCUCCUGCCUCCAGAUCAACCCUAGAGAAGCCAGAGAAGCAAGAGGGGAAGAUUCCGGGAAGGGAGAAUGACAAUGACCACGCAGACCUGGUGGACCUUUGACCCUUCCCCAAACACAGCACUGGAAAAUGGUAGCUGGUAUUCCCAGGGACGCUGUGAACUCAUCUGAGCACAACUAGACCCCUGAGGAGUUCUGAUGCCAAAAAAAAGCUGCGUGCAGUUAUCAAGCCCACUUUACAGAUGAGAAAACGGAGACACGAACACUGGUUAAGCAAUCGGCCUGCAAUUGAUGACAGGCAGUGGUGGGAUUUGAACCCAAGCAGUGUGAGUCCAGCCUGGAACAUUGUACCCGCCGCCCUCUGGCUGGAUCAGGGAGCCCAGCAGAAGGGGAAAUGCGAGGAUGAAGGCCGCAAGAGAGGGAAACUUGGGAGCUCUUCCCGAAGCCUGUGGAACGGAUGAAGGGAGGGAAGAUAGAACACGAAAGCCAAGAAAUAAAGGGGAUGCAGUCAGAGGGGCAAUGUGCGGAGUGGAGAGACCCGGAACGAGGAACCGAGGAGGAAAAUGGGACAACUCCAUCGUCCCUAAACCCACUGCUUACGGAAGGCCCAACCCCGCUCCUGACCUGACAAGGGUGUGCGUUCCAGAGCCCACCCCCUCUGCCCGUCCUCCACCUGCCAGCGGUGGGCGACUUGUCAACAAAACCCCGAACCCCGACGUGGCCGUCCUGCUGGCUCUCACGGAGGAGGUCUCCCCGUCCAAGUCCGGCCCUCCGGGGUGGGAGAAACGGAGGGGAAAGCAGAGCCCCGUACGGGAGGCAGAGCGGCCUCCUCUGCGAUGCAGCUGAGAGCCAGACAGAGACGAUGGAGGGGCCUCUGGUCCUGAACCGUCUUUACUGGCGCCACGGACACGGCCGUUGGCUUCCCAGUCGUCCGUGGCUGGUGAGGCCCACAGCAGCAGGGCCGAGGAGCCGCGACAGAGACGGGCCGGCCCACAAAGAGGACACCUUAUUUACUAGCUGGCUCUUGACAGAAAACAUCAGCUGACCCCUGACCUAGGUUAGGGCUUCUCAGUCAAGAUGUGGCAGGACAUUUUAUCCCUUGCUGUCCCCAUCCGUCCAUCCCACCCCCGCGGGCUCCUCGCUGGGAUUCACCCUCACCUGCGGCCCCCUGGGGGGACGUGCGGCUGCUUGGUUUGCACCUGAGCAGGGAGAGGGCGGUUUCUUCUCCUCUUUUAGGGAAAAGCUGUCAACAACCAGAGGACAGUUCCCUCAGCCCCCAGUUCACUUAGGGAGAGCGAGAACUUGACCUACUGCUCAAGGGAAAAAAAAAAAAAAAACACACACACCUGGAGUCGGGGCUGAGGGCAAGAGGGGCUCUCUCUGCGGGAGAGGGGGUGUCUGUCCGCCUGGCCUGGACCCCCCACCCCCCCACCCCUGCAGAGAUAAGGUUUCUCAGCAGAGGAGGCGGCCCCUUCCUGCAGAGGUUCCUGACUUGGCUGCAGUGUUCGGUGUUGCUGACACGCUUUUCUGCUUCUCAAGUUAUCCGAGCACAGGCUGAGUUGGGGGGGAGGGGGGGAGAGGGGCCGGGGUGCCCGGCCAGACGCAGCCUUCCUCAAAUUAGGUCACUCUACGUUGAGGUCACGUGAAACCAAGGACCCUUUUCCAGGCUUCCUGACAUUGGCACGGCUCCCUGUGCCAUCUCUGGAAUGCAGGGCGGUGAACACUGCAGAGCAGGGCACCACACGUGCAGAGAAGCGUGAGGCACGGAACCGCGCUGGGGGAGAAGCACUGACGUCCACUCUCUGCAGAAUGACGCUGGAGACGUGGACGCAUCUGCCCCUGGCUCUGAGUCUCCCCGCUGACCUGGCCUGUCUUUCUAACUCCCACGUUUAUUCCCGGGCCGCCCUAUCCUCCGAGAGCGACCACACACGGGGGCCUACGUGCCCACCUGGCCGACAGCAUAAAGCUCAAAGCCUGACUCUCCGCACGCCCUGCCCUUCCUCCCCUCUCCAGCAAGUCCUUACUCCCUGCACUGCCUCAGUGACGCUUCUGUGUGGCUCCAUAAGGGACCAGGAACUUAAAGAUGGAAGAGGACCGUUGCAGAGAUUUACUUAGGGUCCCCGAGCAAGCCGGCUGCUGAGGGGCGCUGCAAGCCAGGUUUUCUGGGGCGCCCCCACUGCAUCACACCUGUCGGCCUCUGGCCGCUGCGCUCCGAGCAUCUCCGUACGCCUGGCGGUUGAAUGGCAGGCAGAGUGGACGCUCCCUGAGAGCAGGGAGUCUGCGGGUCACGCUCUGCGACAUCCCUGUUACAGGCACUCCACACCUGCCUGUCCGGUGACGGUCUCUAGGCCGGCCUCAUCACCGCCUCAUCCCCGUCCACGUGACUUGUUUCCCUUCCUUUUUCUUUUGUCCUCUUAGGGCCGCAACCACGGCAUAUGGUGGUUCCCAGGCUAGGGGUCCGAUCAGCACUACAAUUGCCGGCCUACACCACAGCUCACAGCCACUCGGAAUCUGAGCCAUGUCUCCAACCUACACCAAAGCUCACGGCAACACCGGAUCCUUAACCCACCGAGCGAGGCCAGGGAUCGAACCUGCAUCCUCGUGGAUGCUAGUCACAUGCGUUUCCACGGAGCCACGACAGGAACGCCUCCCUUUCAUUCUUUAGAGGGCCAGAUUGUGGUUUUUCUUUAAUGUGGGGUCAAGCUGGUGACCUCAACCUCUGCCUCCCAGGGCCUUAAAUGGAAAUAACAUCCUGAGCGUAAGGUGAGCCCCAGGUCCAGCACGCGCGGCUCCUUCUUUGGCUUCCCUGCUGUCAGGAUGUCUCCUUUCAUGCUUGGGCAUCGCUGACUCCACUGUUGACAUUCUGCCUCACUCAGCAGCUCCAUCUGGUCGUCAGAUCCCUCCUCCCUGUUUGAAUUCUGUAUCUAUGUGUUUAAGUAAAGCCAGAAAACACU
rnacentral:lncRNA from 1 species